rnacentral:rRNA from 1 species
AUUGAACGCUGGCGGCAGGCCUAACACAUGCAAGUCGAACGAGUGGCGGACGGGUGAGUAAUGUCCGGGAAACUGCCUGAUGACGGGGGAUAACUACUGCAAACGGUAGCUAAUACCGAAUACAAUACGAUGUGCCCAGAGUGGAUUAGCUUGUUGGUGGUGUAACGGCUCACCAAGGCUACGAUCCCUAGCUGGUAUGAGAGGAUGAAAAGACACACUGUAACGGAGAUACGGUCCAGACUACUACGGGAGGCAGCAGUGGGGAAUAUGGCACAAUGGGCGCAAGCGUGAUGCAGCCAUGCCGCGUGUAUGAAGAAGGCCUUCGGGUUGUAAUGGACUUUCAGCGGGGAGGCGUUACCCGCAGAAGAAGCACCGGCUAACUCCGUGCCAGCAGCCGCGGUAAUUC